rnacentral:rRNA from 1 species
GGUUAAGCGACUAAGCGUACACGGUGGAUGCCCUGGCAGUCAGAGGCGAUGAAGGGCGUACUAAUCUGCGAUAAGCGCCGGUAAGGUGAUAUGAACCGUUAUAACCGGCGAUACCCGAAUGGGGAAACCCAGUGUGAUUCGUCACACUAUCAUUAACUGAAUCCAUAGGUUAAUGAGGCGAACCGGGGGAACUGAAACAUCUAAGUACCCCGAGGAAAAGAAAUCAACCGAGAUUCCCCCAGUAGCGGCGAGCGAACGGGGAGGAGCCCAGAGCCUGAAUCAGCAUGUGUGUUAGUGGAAGCGUCUGGAAAGGCGCGCGAUACAGGGUGACAGCCCCGUACACAAAAGCGCAUGUGCUGUGAGCUCGAUGAGUAGGGCGGGACACGUGGUAUCCUGUCUGAAUAUGGGGGGACCAUCCUCCAAGGCUAAAUACUCCUGACUGACCGAUAGUGAACCAGUACCGUGAGGGAAAGGCGAAAAGAACCCCGGCGAGGGGAGUGAAAAAGAACCUGAAACCGUGUACGUACAAGCAGUGGGAGCACCCUUUGGGUGUGACUGCGUACCUUUUGUAUAAUGGGUCAGCGACUUAUAUUCUGUAGCAAGGUUAACCGAAUAGGGGAGCCGGAGGGAAACCGAGUCUUAACCGGGCGUUAAGUUGCAGGGUAUAGACCCGAAACCCGGUGAUCUAGCCAUGGGCAGGUUGAAGGUUGGGUAACACUAACUGGAGGACCGAACCGACUAAUGUUGAAAAAUUAGCGGAUGACCUGUGGCUGGGGGUGAAAGGCCAAUCAAACCGGGAGAUAGCUGGUUCUCCCCGAAAGCUAUUUAGGUAGCGCCUCGUGAAUUCAUCUCCGGGGGUAGAGCACUGUUUCGGCUAGGGGGCCAUCCCGGCUUACCAACCCGAUGCAAACUGCGAAUACCGGAGAAUGUUAUCACGGGAGACACACGGCGGGUGCUAACGUCCGUCGUGAAGAGGGAAACAACCCAGACCGCCAGCUAAGGUCCCAAAGUCAUGGUUAAGUGGGAAACGAUGUGGGAAGGCCCAGACAGCCAGGAUGUUGGCUUAGAAGCAGCCAUCAUUUAAAGAAAGCGUAAUAGCUCACUGGUCGAGUCGGCCUGCGCGGAAGAUGUAACGGGGCUAAACCAUGCACCGAAGCUGCGGCAGCGACACUGUGUGUUGUUGGGUAGGGGAGCGUUCUGUAAGCCUGUGAAGGUGUGUCGUGAGGCAUGCUGGAGGUAUCAGAAGUGCGAAUGCUGACAUAAGUAACGAUAAAGCGGGUGAAAAGCCCGCUCGCCGGAAGACCAAGGGUUCCUGUCCAACGUUAAUCGGGGCAGGGUGAGUCGACCCCUAAGGCGAGGCCGAAAGGCGUAGUCGAUGGGAAACGGGUUAAUAUUCCCGUACUUGGUGUUACUGCGAAGGGGGGACGGAGAAGGCUAUGUUGGCCGGGCGACGGUUGUCCCGGUUUAAGCGUGUAGGUGUGUGUUCCAGGUAAAUCCGGUUCACUUUAACACUGAGGCGUGACGACGAGGCACUACGGUGCUGAAGCAACAAAUGCCCUGCUUCCAGGAAAAGCCUCUAAGCAUCAGGUAACAUCAAAUCGUACCCCAAACCGACACAGGUGGUCAGGUAGAGAAUACCAAGGCGCUUGAGAGAACUCGGGUGAAGGAACUAGGCAAAAUGGUGCCGUAACUUCGGGAGAAGGCACGCUGACACGUAGGUGAAGUGAUUUACUCAUGGAGCUGAAGUCAGUCGAAGAUACCAGCUGGCUGCAACUGUUUAUUAAAAACACAGCACUGUGCAAACACGAAAGUGGACGUAUACGGUGUGACGCCUGCCCGGUGCCGGAAGGUUAAUUGAUGGGGUCAGCGCAAGCGAAGCUCCUGAUCGAAGCCCCGGUAAACGGCGGCCGUAACUAUAACGGUCCUAAGGUAGCGAAAUUCCUUGUCGGGUAAGUUCCGACCUGCACGAAUGGCGUAAUGAUGGCCAGGCUGUCUCCACCCGAGACUCAGUGAAAUUGAACUCGCUGUGAAGAUGCAGUGUACCCGCGGCAAGACGGAAAGACCCCGUGAACCUUUACUAUAGCUUGACACUGAACAUUGAGCCUUGAUGUGUAGGAUAGGUGGGAGGCUUUGAAGUGUGGACGCCAGUCUGCAUGGAGCCGACCUUGAAAUACCACCCUUUAAUGUUUGAUGUUCUAACGUGGACCCGUUACCCGGGUUGCGGACAGUGUCUGGUGGGUAGUUUGACUGGGGCGGUCUCCUCCUAAAGAGUAACGGAGGAGCACGAAGGUUGGCUAAUCCUGGUCGGACAUCAGGAGGUUAGUGCAAUGGCAUAAGCCAGCUUGACUGCGAGCGUGACGGCGCGAGCAGGUGCGAAAGCAGGUCAUAGUGAUCCGGUGGUUCUGAAUGGAAGGGCCAUCGCUCAACGGAUAAAAGGUACUCCGGGGAUAACAGGCUGAUACCGCCCAAGAGUUCAUAUCGACGGCGGUGUUUGGCACCUCGAUGUCGGCUCAUCACAUCCUGGGGCUGAAGUAGGUCCCAAGGGUAUGGCUGUUCGCCAUUUAAAGUGGUACGCGAGCUGGGUUUAGAACGUCGUGAGACAGUUCGGUCCCUAUCUGCCGUGGGCGCUGGAGAACUGAGGGGGGCUGCUCCUAGUACGAGAGGACCGGAGUGGACGCAUCACUGGUGUUCGGGUUGUCAUGCCAAUGGCACUGCCCGGUAGCUAAAUGCGGAAGAGAUAAGUGCUGAAAGCAUCUAAGCACGAAACUUGCCCCGA